AUACGGAGGGUGCAAGCGUUAUUCGGAACCACUGGGCGUAAAGGACGCGUAGGCGGGUUGGCAAGUCAGAUGUGAAAUCCUACAGCUUAACUGUAGAACUGCAUUUGAAACUGCUAACCUAGAGUAUGGGAGGGGGAGAUGGAAUUAGUGGUGUAGGGGUAAAAUCCGUAGAUAUCACUAGGAAUACCGAAAGCGAAGGCGAUCUCCUGGAACAUAACUGACGCUAAGGCGUGAAAGCGUGGGGAGCAAACAGGAUUAGAAACCCUAGUAGUCC
rnacentral:rRNA from 1 species